CUACGGGGUGCUCCAGUGAGGAAUAUUGCACAAUGGGGGGAACCCUGAUGCAGCAACGCCGCGUGGAGGAUGACGCAUUUCGGUGUGUAAACUCCUUUUAUAUGUCAAGAAAAUGACGGUAGCAUAUGAAUAAGCACCGGCUAACUCCGUGCCAGCAGCCGCGGUAAUACGGAGGGUGCAAGCGUUACGCGGAAUCACUGGGCGUAAAGGACGCGUAGGCGGGUUGGAAAGUCAGGUGUGAAAUCCUACAGCUUAACUGUAGAACUGCACUUGAAACUUCUAAGCUAGAGUAUGGGAGGGGGAGAUGGAAUUAGUGGUGUAGGGGUAAAAUCCGUAGAUAUCACUAGGAACACCUAAAGCGAAGGCGAUCUCCUGGAACAUUACUGACGCUAAGGCGUGAAAGCGUGGGGAGCAAACAGGAUUAGAUACCCCAGUAGUC
rnacentral:rRNA from 1 species